CCUANGGGUGGCUGCAGUCGAGAAUCUUCCGCAAUGGGCGAAAGCCUGACGGAGCGACGCCGCGUGCGGGAUGAAGGCCUUCGGGUUGUAAACCGCUGUCAGUGGGGAGGAAAUGCACGGGGGUUCUCCCUCGUGUUUGACCGAUCCGCAGAGGAAGCACAGGCUAAGUUCGUGCCAGCAGCCGCGGUAACACGAACUGUGCGAACGUUAUUCGGAAUUACUGGGCUUAAAGAGUUCGUAGGCGGCUUGUUAAGUCGGGUGUGAAAUCCCUCGUCUCAACCGAGGAAUUGCGUUCGAAACUGGCAGGCUUGAGUGAGAUAGAGGUGAGCGGAACUGAUGGUGGAGCGGUGAAAUGCGUUGAUAUUAUCAGGAACACCGGUUGCGAAGGCGGCUCACUGGGUCUUUACUGACGCUGAGGAACGAAAGCUAGGGGAGCGAACGGGAUUAGAUACCCCGNUANUC
rnacentral:rRNA from 1 species